rnacentral:misc_RNA from 1 species
GAUCAAGAGGUUGCCGUUCUAGAGUGAUGGUGAGUCCAACCCAACCUGAAAAUUUGACUCGAAAAAUUUUUCAUUGGCAAGGCUUGAAGCAGCCGACUCAUGUACAGUGUAAUUUUUUUUUUAGUUUCCAAAUGGGGAUUGGAUGGUAGGUUGUGUUAUGAUUUUACUGUUAUUAGUUAUUAUUACUCUCAUUGUUGUUUAUUAUUCAAGGUUUUUGUUUCCCGCUAGUCAGUGACAGGAAGGAAACCCUUCCUGUCACUGACUAGCGGGAUUUCCCUCAUCUAAUCUAUUAUUUAUAUUUCAUUCUGGCA